AUUGAACGCUGGCGGCAUGCUUUACACAUGCAAGUCGAACGGUAACAGGCCUUCGGGUGCUGACGAGUGGCGAACGGGUGAGUAAUGCAUCGGAACGUGCCCAGAGGUGGGGGAUAACGCAGCGAAAGCUGUGCUAAUACCGCAUGCGAUCUGAGGAUGAAAGCGGGGGACCGAGCAGCAAUGUUUGGCCUCGCGCCUCUGGAGCCGCCGAUGUCAGAUUAGGUAGUUGGUGGGGUAAAGGCCUACCAAGCCGACGAUCUGUAGCUGGUCUGAGAGGACGACCAGCCACACGGGGACUGAGACACGGCCCAGACUCCUACGGGAGGCAGCAGUGGGGAAUGUUGGACAAUGGGCGCAAGCCUGAUCCAGCAAUGCCGCGUGCGGGAAGAAGGCCUUCGGGUUGUAAACCGCUUUUGUACGGAACGAAAAGGCUCUGGCUAAUACCUGGGGCUGAUGACGGUACCGGAAGAAUAAGCACCGGCUAACUACGUG
rnacentral:rRNA from 1 species